GGGGGUGAACGGUUUCGACUUCGGACGAUCGCUUCAGGGGAAGCGGGCCGAGGACCCAGGGUCACCUCGUAAACGAUCCCUGGAAACAAAUAAGUGCCAACGCUAAGCGCACUGACUUCGCUCUCGCCGCCUGACGCGAGCUAGCGAAGGGUCAGGCCGGGAGUGCCUCCGACCCGGAUCCUGGCCUCAUCGAGGAGGCUCGCCCGCAUGGAACGGCCGCGGGGCCGUGCGGGGACACCGACCGCGGCUGGGCCCGUCGGCGACUUGCCUGCGUGAGCGCCGGGGCCGAGUAGAACGCUGAGCAGGCUGCGCCCGGAGAAGCCCUGAAACGACGACGAAGGACGCGGGUUCGAUUCCCGCCACCUCCACCA
rnacentral:tmRNA from 1 species